AUUGAACGCUGGCGGAAUGCUUUACACAUGCAAGUCGAACGGUAGAGGGGCAACCCUUGAGAGUGGCGAACGGGUGAGUAAUGUAUCGGAACAUGCCCAGUCGUGGGGGAUAACGUAGCGAAAGUUACGCUAAUACCGCAUACGAGCUAUGGAUGAAAGCGGGGGAUCGCAAGACCUCGCGCGAUUGGAGUGGCCGAUAUCAGAUUAGGUAGUUGGUGGGGUAAAGGACUACCAAGCCGACGAUCUGUAGCUGGUUUGAGAUGACGACCAGCCCCGCGGGUGAUGAGAGACGGCCCAGACUCGUACGGGAGGGAGCAGUGGGGAAUUUUCGACAAUGGGCGAAAGCCUGAUCCAGCCAUUCCGCGGGCAGGAAGAAGGCCGUCGGGUUGUAAACUGCUUUUGUACGGAACGAAACGCGCUGUGCUAAUACCACGGCGUAAUGACGGUACCGUAAGAAUAAGCACCGGCUAACUACGUGCCAGCAGCCGCCGCGG
rnacentral:rRNA from 1 species